rnacentral:misc_RNA from 1 species
AAGUCGUAACAAGGUUUCCGUAGGUGAACCUGCGGAAGGAUCAUUAACACGUAUCCACGUAUCAACCAACCGCGAACUCGUUUUCAACUCUCCCUUCGGUGGCACAUGAAUUGGAAUUAAAACAAAGUAGUGAGCGGGGCUUUCGGGCCAGCUUUGUUUCAACCACUGGGAUAAAUAUUCAUUUAUUUAUUUCGACAAUUGUAGUGUUCCGGAGGCAAACCUUCUGUUACUUUCAUCUCCACUCAUGAUCGGAGUAACGGGAAAUCUAUUAACCUAUUUCACCCCCUUUUUGCUAGUUGACUUUAUUAUGUUGUUAUCAGUAAGAUUUAUUUCUUAUUGGUCUCACACGUUUAAUUACUUAAACGAUAGAACAACUCUUAGCAAUGGAUAUCUUGGUUCUC